GUGAGACCUUUUAGAUCUGAUCUCCCUUAGCUACUUUCAAAUACGCAAUACAUAAUUAUUAACUAUAGUCACCAUGCUAUACGUUACAUCUCCAUGACUUAUUUAUUUUAUAACUGGAA